rnacentral:rRNA from 1 species
GGCCUGCGCGGAAGAUGUAACGGGGCUAAACCAUGCACCGAAGCUGCGGCAGCGACACUAUGUGUUGUUGGGUAGGGGAGCGUUCUGUAAGCCUGUGAAGGUGUACUGUGAGGUAUGCUGGAGGUAUCAGAAGUGCGAAUGCUGACAUAAGUAACGAUAAAGCGGGUGAAAAGCCCGCUCGCCGGAAGACCAAGGGUUCCUGUCCAACGUUAAUCGGGGCAGGGUGAGUCGACCCCUAAGGCGAGGCCGAAAGGCGUAGUCGAUGGGAAACAGGUUAAUAUUCCUGUACUUGGUGUUACUGCGAAGGGGGGACGGAGAAGGCUAUGUUGGCCGGGCGACGGUUGUCCCGGUUUAAGCGUGUAGGCUGAUUUUCCAGGCAAAUCCGGAAAAUCAAGGCUGAGGCGUGAUGACGAGGCACUACGGUGCUGAAGCAACAAAUGCCCUGCUUCCAGGAAAAGCCUCUAAGCAUCAGGUAACAUCAAAUCGUACCCCAAACCGACACAGGUGGUCAGGUAGAGAAUACCAAGGCGCUUGAGAGAACUCGGGUGAAGGAACUAGGCAAAAUGGUGCCGUAACUUCGGGAGAAGGCACGCUGAUAUGUAGGUGAAGCGACUUGCUCGUGGAGCUGAAAUCAGUCGAAGAUACCAGCUGGCUGCAACUGUUUAUUAAAAACACAGCACUGUGCAAACACGAAAGUGGACGUAUACGGUGUGACGCCUGCCCGGUGCCGGAAGGUUAAUUGAUGGGGUUAGCGGUAACGCGAAGCUCUUGAUCGAAGCCCCGGUAAACGGCGGCCGUAACUAUAACGGUCCUAAGGUAGCGAAAUUCCUUGUCGGGUAAGUUCCGACCUGCACGAAUGGCGUAAUGAUGGCCAGGCUGUCUCCACCCGAGACUCAGUGAAAUUGAACUCGCUGUGAAGAUGCAGUGUACCCGCGGCAAGACGGAAAGACCCCGUGAACCUUUACUAUAGCUUGACACUGAACAUUGAGCCUUGAUGUGUAGGAUAGGUGGGAGGCUUUGAAGUGUGGACGCCAGUCUGCAUGGAGCCGACCUUGAAAUACCACCCUUUAAUGUUUGAUGUUCUAACGUUGGCCCGUUAUCCGGGUUGCGGACAGUGUCUGGUGGGUAGUUUGACUGGGGCGGUCUCCUCCUAAAGA